AGAGGAGUAACUUAAUUGGUAGAGGAUCAACCUGUCGAGUUGGAAGGUGCGGGUUCGAAUCCUGCCUCCUUCG
rnacentral:tRNA from 1 species